AUUUGGCCUUCAUUUUUGUACCAAUUCAACAUAGAUCCAGAGUAAUAGUCAUUCAUAAGGUAAAACCCAAACAAAAAGUUAAUCAUGUUUUAAGAAGUAACAAAAGAAAUUCACCUCACAGCAAUGGUAUUAGAAGGGUCAGAGCUAGUGAAAAUUUGGGCUUGGUUGUGACCAUUUUCUGGCAACCAACCCAUGUCCUCAAACGACGUUGGCAUCCCUUCACUUGUAUCCAAGAAAAUCUUGCAAUUUCAUAAUGAGAAUCAUACUUAGCCGAGGUAUUACAACUUACAAGCACACAAAGCAAAAGAGAAUAUCAUUGAUCAGUAUGAGUACUUGUAUUUACCUGAACACCUGCAGGGUCAUAGCUCGACAUAUGAUUGCUCAACAAGUAUUUCUGCAAAGGAAAGAAACAAUUAAGAUGAACAAUAGAGUACUUAAGGCUCCAUUUGGCAGCUGUAAAAUAUUUUCGUGGAAAAUAAUUCUCCUCUUUUCAAUCAUUAUACAUUGUUUGGUUUGACAAGGGAUGAACAAUUUUCAAUAACUCCCUCAAAGGUGGAAAAACCUUUUCCAACAAAGAAAAAUCAAGUAGUCUAUGUCUUAAGUGGCAUAGAACUUUCCAGAAGAGUUCACUUCUUGAACAACUUAGCGAAUGGGUUGGCAGCAAGUUGUAAGAAGGACCUAGAUGAUUCUUGACAUGUUUGUCUUCUAGACAAAUUGUAUAUUAUUAUUAGUCGAGUUUCAUCUUUGGAGAUUGGGAUCGUGGUUUUCCCCCUUAUUGUCGAGAAGGGUAUUUCACGUAAAAUCGUGUGUGGUUUGUUUUUCAUACUUUGUUUUCUUCUCGUUAUUAUGUUUAUAGUUUCUCUUUCCCAACAAUUUGUAAUUGUGUUUCAGAAAAAACGUUUUACACCAAACAAAAAGAUGAGGUGUCAAUAAUAAGAUAUGACAUCGGAAUUCUUCACAUCAGUGUGUCUAAACUAAUACCUUUCGUUGAGAGACGUGUGAUAAAGCAUCCAUGAGGUUCUUCUCACACGAUUCAAGCUCUCCCAUUGAUGUGAAGCCCAUUGGAUCCGGUUCAUAAAUCCUAAUUAUCACAUUGUUCAACAUUCAGGUUAAUCAUUAAAACUCAACAACAACCAUUUCUAAAGAAGCAUAGACAUUGUGUUGGUAGUCGUAGACAAAGUUCUAUAACCUUAAUUGAUCCUCAGCCAUCUGAAGCUGGUGUUGCAAGUUAUUCACUUCUUGCUGAAGAUCCUACAUGAAAAAUAAAUCCAAUGCAAUAUGAAACUUUUAAAAAAGCAAAGUUUUUGUUGAUGGUAAAAAAAAGAAGAUAGAUAAAUUCCAACCUCCAAGUUUGAGUUACAUGCUCCUGGGCUGCAGCAAAAUCAUCUUGGCCAUCAGGAAAAGUAAAAAAAAAAAAAAAAACGACAUGAACAAAAACCGGUAAUUUAGAACUACUAGUACAUCUUAAUUAACAAUCUUGAAAGGAGAGAAAUAAGAAUGAGAGAUACGAACUUGGCAAGUUGAAGAGCAAUGUCAUUUUCCGUCUUGAGCUUUUUGAGAGUGCUGAGUAAGUACUACACCAACAUUGAAAUUGAAUGAUUAUUUCCAAUAACGGGACGUAGGGGUACGUGUACAAGGGUAAGUAACGAACAAUAUAAUCAAUACUCGUAAUUAGAUGGGAUGGUAAAAGGAAAGAAUUCUCUUUUCAAUAUAGGUUCAUUAUUACAAAAUUAACAAAGUAUGUAACAAUAUUUACCUCUUUAUUAUGAACGAAGCUUGAAGGGUUGGCAGAAGAAAAAAAAUUCACUAAAAAGGUCAGUAAUUAAGUAAUUGCACUAUUAAUCCUUACGAGAUAAUUUCAAUGAAAAAAAUACCUAAAAUUAACAACUGAUAAAAUGAAGAAAUCUUACUUUCCCCUGUCAUGGUCUGGGAGAUUAAUGUAACGCAUUAAUACAUCCUCAAUUCUAAACACGAACACACCCAAAUUCCCAAAUUCAGAAAAAUAAAUAAAACAAUAAUUAGUCCUCCAUUAAAAAAAAAAACUAAAAUAGCAAAAUAUGCGUAAAUUUAAUUAAACCAAUGCUAAGAAAUAAUAAUAAUAAUAAUAAUAAUAAUAAUAAUAAUAAAAAAAAACAAACCUUUUUCUACCAGAAAAAUGGCUCAGACGGCCGGAAGGGGAGAACAUAAUAAGGGCAAUAUCAAUGUCACAUAAAAUAGACAGUUCAUAAGCCUUCUUGAUGAGUCCAUUUCUUCGUUUGGAGAAGGUAACUUGACGAUUGGUAGUGUUCUCAAUCCUUUUUAUCUGAAGUUUAACACGACCCAUAAUAACGAGAACAAUAACAAUAACGAGAAUAAUAACAAUAACAAUUACAGCAAUGUAAUGGAAGAAACAGAGGAUGGAUGUAUUAUGCGAAAACGAAAGAAACAGAGGAAUUGAUCGAAGUGGGGAAAUGGGAAUGGGGAAAAUGAAGGGACAAGAGAAAAUAGAGAUGCGAUGAAAGAGGAGAGGAGCAAAGGAUUUACGCUCAGGAUUUCAAGAGUUUUCAGUCAAAUUAUUUUUUUGUUAAAUUAACUGUCAUGGCGAUUUGGCGGGUGAUGUGGAAAACCCCAUGCAUUUAUUACGCGUAUGUAUAUUUCCAAUGGUUAGGGACGAUACAUAAUCUUCUUUGCGGCGUUGGAAAAUGAGAUAACACAAUCUACAAUAAUUACGGCCAGCGUAUCAGUAUGCAACCAAAUUUUGAGUAUUCAGUGAAUUACAUUAUGGGUAAUUUUUAUAACUUACUUUGGUUUACUUUUUACUCCCGAAAUACUCACACAAUUUUGACUUUUACACUAUUUACAUAGUUUAUUCACAAAUUCUUAUUUACAAAGGGUGUACAAUAAAUAUUGUACAACGGAGUAAAAGUUAACUCAAAAUGUUUAAAAGUUAAGCUUAUAUAGGUAAAAAUUAUCUAUUUUUUAGUGACAAUUUUUUUAUUUCAGUAAAAACAUAUUUAUUCAAAACCACUAAUAAUGUAUAAAAUUAAUCAUUUAAUCAUUUCUAUCAAUUUUUUUUACUAAUAUAAAAGUUAAUCAAAACUAGGUUAAAGUUACGAAAAUAUGGGUAAAAGUUAUCUUGGUGUACAAUAAAUUUAUUGUACACCUUUGUGCGCGCAAGACCUUUUGUAGUUUAUUUUGAUCCUACUUUAUUUCUACUAUAUAUGAAAAUAAUUGUGAGUAUAUAUAAUAUAUUGUUGUUUUCAUCUUAAAAUAUGUUUUUAAAAUAUUAAAAUUUUAUAAGUUUUUAUAAUUAAAGAUAUUGGUGGUCAAAGUUGUGCAUUGACAAACGUGUCCAGUCAAAACGAUGCGAGUAUUUUGGGACGGAGAGAGUAUAUUAUAAAGUACUUUUUGAUGGAUAAGCAUUUUAAAGAGCUAUAUUACCUUAUAGUUCACUUUUUACAUUACUAGUGAUUUUGAAGGGAUAACUUUUAUUUCAAAGAAAAACUUUAUCACUAAAAAGAACUUUCGCUUAUAUCGGUAUAACUUUUAAGUAUUUUAGUGUAAGUUUCCAUUCAUCUUACAAUGUUUAUUGUACACUAAGUGUAAUAAAGAACUUGUGUUACGCUAAAGACGGUCUUAGGCCGUGUUGAGCCUGCGUGCCUUGGGAUUGAACGAGUCCGACCUACGCCAUACCCACAUGUCUCGUGUCGGGCCAAAAAUUUCAAAAGGGCAGCUCGGGCACGACUCGAAUCUGCAUGCCCUCGUAUCGGGUCGUGAUGGGUCUUCAUGUUUAAGCCUAAUUUCACUAAACUUAAUGUGAUUUGUCGUGUCGUGUUGUACCUUGUCGCGUGUUUUUUUAAAUAAUUGCAGCCCGAUCCACGACUUCAUGCUCGUGUUGGACGUUCUUUAUAUGCCCAUGUCGCGUCUUGCUUUUUCAGUGUUGGUCCACGCCAGUCGUGCCUCGGCCAAACAUGAACUAAUGCCAUCUUUAGUUUAUGCAUGGACGCAUGGCAAAAUCGAUUGUAUAUAGUAUACCCGGUUAUAUGAUAAAAGUAUUUUUCGAUGUUAUAAAUGUUUAAUUUUUUGCUACAAAAAGUAUUCCGCGUUAAUAUUUGAUUAUAAUUUUCAUAACAAUGUUUAAUUGUAUUUUCUUGGUUUCUUUUUAUUCUUUACGUUUGGCAUCAUAUAUACACGAAUUAAUUAAGAAUUAUUAAAGUAGGAAUAGAUUCCUUUUUUUUAAUGCAAAUUCUAUAUUAAUUUAUUAUUGCUUUUUCACGAUAAUCGACAAGUAGACAAUUUAGCCUUGGGAGAUGAAUUGAAAACGGAUUUCUACGAAUAUAAAAUAAAACUAAGAAAAAAAUGAUGGGAACAAGUCAAUUUUUGGGUCGUGUAUCAAUAUUUGAAUAAGUCUAUUUUUUAUACCCAUCUUUUUAAAACAAGUCAAACCAAGUUGUUACCUGUUGUUGCAGGUUACGUAUCAGGCAAUAAUUGUUUUUUUUAAUAAUUUUUCACACAUUUUUCAAAACAUAUUUUUGAAACAAUUUUCGGUGUAACUUAAUUUUGGACACUUUUCCCGCAUAUAUUUUGACAAAUUCUUCACGACACAUUUUUUGAGGUGAAUUUUUUAUAUGUUUUCGAGGCGACUUUUUCAACGUACCUUCGAGACGACUUAAUGACAGGUUUUCGGUAUUUAUAUUUGUUCUCUUUAACCUAAAAAUAAGUAGAAAUUUUAAUGACACCAAAAACCAACUUAAAUAGAAUAAAAUUUUGAUGCUACUUUUUUAUGAGUUUUUCGAGGUAACUUAGUGAAAUAUUUUUCAAAGUAAAUUAUUGACAAUUUUUUUGCGACAUGAUUCCUGAUACAAUUUUUAGGCACGUUUAUCGAGACAUAAUUUUGACACUUUCCUCAUGGCACGUUUUUCGAGGAGAAUUUUUGACAUAUUAUUAAAUUGACAAUGAUCAGAGCAAAAUUGACAUUUUUAUCAAACAAUAAUGCCAAAAACUCAAAAUAGAUCCUUCAUUUAAUUUUUUUUAGCUUCAUUAAAAUAAAAGAAAAUUAUAAAAAUUACAAAAAAUUAGCGUAGAAAAUACAAAAAAUAAAGUUAGACGUUUACCUAUAAAUCGUUCACUUAACUUAAUUAAAAUUGAUGAAGAUUCAAGUUUGAAAUAUAAAAAAAAAAUUAACUCAUUUUUAAUAGACGGUCUAAAUAUUGACUUAUUUCCAUCAAUUCUUACAAAUCAAAAUACUCGAUACCGCGACCUGAUCUCGUUUACCGCAUGGGUUUCCUAGUAUCACCAAUAAAAAUAACAAGAAUCCGUCGUGUUACGUACCAUCAAAGUCCCUUCAGAAUUUGAGUGUGGUAACGUAUUAAAAAAUCAAAAUCCCUUGUACCGCGUGGACAGAGAUGGCGCCACGUAAGUUUACCGGUACCCCCCAUGUCGGUAACAAGAAAUCAACGCGCUAUGUCCAUGGUUCCUUCGGGUUUUGGGCGCAGUACUGUGUAAAAAAAUAUUGAAUUUUCUUGGCAUUAUACAUGGUGACUGCGGUUGAGGCAAUGACAUCAACUUUUGCGGAGCGAGGUAGUUAGGCUUUUGCUUCUUCUUUGUAGUCAUGGUGUCCGAUGACGAUGGUGUGCGGAGAUCCCCCAGUACGCUGGUGUGUUAUGGUGCUUUUAUUUAAUUUAAUCAUCAUGUGGUGUGUUGGUGAGGACGUUAGUGGUUAAGGAGCUAAUGUUGGUCGUGUGGUUUGGGUGUUCAUCAGCCUAACCUCGGACCGGACAGAUCCAGACCAAAUACCACAAAAUUUUAAUAAUUCAAGACUCAGAGACUAGACCGGUCUAUUUUUCUAGCCGAGACAUUUUUUGAACACCCCAAUUGUGACGCCGAUGGUGGUAAUGGUGAUGAUGGAAAUAAAAUGUAGGAAGUGAGGAGAUGAGAUUGCAAUAUAGAUGGUGGACCAUAGUGCACGAUAAAGAUGGAGCACCUUAAGAACGCAAAUAUGUAGUUAAAAAACAUUACCUUACUUGAAAAGAACAUGAAUAAUAAUAUGGAUAUUUUGAUAUUUACUACCUUAAAAAUACACCAUUUUUGUAUUUACUACCUUAUGAAAAAUUUAUUUUAAAUUACUACCUUAAAGUUCCAUUUUUUUUGUAUUCACUACCAUUUUACAGUUUUCUCAUUUUAAAAUUGAGAUAUCUCUUUCGUUUCUUAAUCAUUUUAAGUGAUUCAAAGCUCAUUCUUCUCAUUUAUGUGUAAGGAUUCCAUAGGGAUCCGACUUUUUAACAUUUCGUAAAAGUUUAAACAAAUUAAAUAUUAUUUGUAAAAUUUUAAAAUAUUUAUGAAUUAUCAAACGAAAUUUUUUGAAAUGACGUUCUCAAUGAAAUCCCUAUAGAAAAAGGAAAAUAAUGAACUUUGAAUCACUCUAAACGAUUAAGAAACGAAAGAGAUAUCUUAAUUUUAAAAUGAGAAAACUGUAAAGUGGUAGUAAAUAAAAAGAAAUUGGAAGUUUAAGGUAUUAAUUUAAAAUAAAAAUUUCAUAAGGUAGUAAAUACAAAAGUGGUGUAUUUUAAAGGUAGUAAAUACCAAAAUUUCCUAAUAAUAUUUAUAUUUUAAAAAAAAGUGAAAUAAUUUUUUUAUUUUUUUAUUUUGAUAACAAAAAAGUGAAUAAUAUGUGACAUGUUCUUCUGUCGCAAUGUCAUGAUCUUUUACAUGUGCACAUAUGUUAUUUUAGGUGCACCAUGCUCAUUGCACACCACAAUUCAUAAUCUACGAAUUGGGUGAAGAUCGAGGUUGUGGGAAAUUUAUGGUUGUGAGAGAAAGGAAAAGGAUGGACGAGGGGGUGAAGAGAAUAUCCUUUAUAAAGGAUUAAAGGGUCACUGUAGUGGUUUUUUUUGAGUGUUUCAUUUGUAUUUCGGAUACUUGUAUUUCGAAUUUUGUAAAUGCAAGUUUUGGGACCUUGACAUGUUCCAAUUAGGAUAUGCCAAGAACACAAACUUGGUCAACAAAAUUCGAGAAACUCUACACUUGGGUUCGACUUGAUUUUCGCAUUCCCACCCCAAAAGGGAGUCGAAUGCCAAGGUUUGAUCAAAUGAUUGAAUAUUGAUUUGAGCAUUUAGAAAAUAGGAGACCCAAAUUAUAGGAAAUAAGAUAGAAACUAACCCCUACGGCUUUGGAUUUUUGAACUUCGAUGGAGUCGCCACCAAACAAGUUUUUGGGUCCGGUUUAGAAAGACCAAAUGUGACCCGGGAUAAGGCAUUGGAAUUGAAACAGAUUGAAACUCGGGUAAGGGAACGAAAUACUUAUUUGAGUAAAUUUUGCAAUUGGUUCAUACAAUACAAGCAUCAUUUUCGGAGUAUAAUCCUAACAUGACACUAAGGUUUAGGCGGGUGAGCAUGCAUAAUUAGGACAUUGAAAUGGCUAAGUUUGUAUGGUGAUCACUUUGCUUUAAGUCAAAUUUAUGGAACCUAAACCGUUUUGUCUAAAAAUUAUCUUUGUUAAGCGUGAUUAGAACUUGUAGAUUUUUUUAGCAUGUUGGGUGAUGAAAACGAUAAACAAGUAAAACAUCAUCAAAAUAGAAAAUAGAAUGCGGAAUUAGUAAAGAUUAUACAUCACCACCUAGAAAAGGACUAGGUGUAAACCACAUCGCCUAGAAGGACUAGGCGAGUAAAAUUGCAUAAAUAGUAAGUGCGGAAUUAAAAUAAGCAAUAAAUAAGCAAUAAAUAAGCAAUAAAGCAUUGAACUUGUAUAAUAGAAGUUAAAUAACUUGAAUAUUGAAAAUCCGAUUGAGGAACACUUGCUCAAAUGUGAUUUGGCUCCUCACGAAUCCAAUUGUAUAUUUAAUCUCACUUUAAAAUGAGUUGCUCAUUAAAAAGUAUCAUCGAUUUUGCACAUUAAAUAUUGAAAUAGAACUUGAAUAUAGAACUUGAAUAUAGAAAUUAGGAGAUUUUUAUUCUCAAAGGCCAAGACUUUAUGUAAAGGCUCCACCUUUGGUAAACUCCAUACUUGUAUUUGAUUCUAGUUUUAAGGGAAUGAUUCCCAUUGAAACAUCAUUGAAUAUUUGAACUUGAAACUUUCCUUUGUACAUGAAAUUGGAUGAUUCAUGUGUUCUAACUUAAAGAAUGGGUUGCACUUCUUCAAGUAUUAUAGAACUUUGUAUAAAGAUUGAAGCUUUUUGAAAACUUGAGCCAUGGUUGUUAGAAGGAAUGUUUUCAAGAAUGAAAACUUCACUUUCUUAACCAAGUUUUAUUGAAAUAAUGCAUAAAAAUUGAAUCUUGAACUUGAAAUAGGAGUAUGGAAGAUCAUUUGAGGAUAUUUUCAAGUAUAAAAUCCCCUCAAAGAUUACCUCUUUAAUACAUAACCUAGUUCAAGUGAGUAUGAACAUCACAUGUACAUCUUUGGUUUUAGAAAUUAGCAAAAUAGAUUAGAAAAAUAAUGGAUUAGUAAGGAUUCAGAUUAGCUAAGUAGGCUAGAUUGAUUUCUCCAAGGUGAUUUCCCAAUUUCAAAAUAGUAGAAAAGUUUGUGUUAUUAGAAAUUUGAAGAUUUUAGAGGAUUUGUUAAUUGUAGAUUGAUUUUGGCAUUACGAUAUUGUAUUGAUUGUGUGAUUAUCCGUCUCCUUGAUGCUUGGGGGUUUAUAUAGAAAAAUGGAUGAAAAGACGACAAAAGCUUGGCGUCUGGCGCUGAUGCCUUGCUGGAGCCUGGCGUUAGCAAACGCUGCCAAAAAAGGACGAUGAUACCGUCCUUUUGAGGCGCGCCUGAUUUUUACCUUUGUACAUUUGGAUUGUACUGAGGAAGGCUUUCCUUAAGGAGGUUGCUUGUUUGUUUUUAGACGCAAUUUCUUUGCGCCCAUUUUUUACAAUUUGAAUCCGGUUUUACGGGUCGGUGCCUAGGAUGCUUGGUUUUGUGGGUCGGCGCCUGAAUUUGGAUUUAUUAAUGUCAUUUUGAUUGGAAAUGUGGCUCGGAGACCAAUGGAGAGUUCCAUUUUGAGCGUUUGUGUUUGAAUUUCGGAUUUGUGUUUAGAAAUUGAAUUUUGUACCAAGUUCCGGGAUGGGAACAGACUUGGGGAUUGGAUUUUAGACUUUUGAACUCAUCAUAAUUUCAUUGUAUUCUAACAAUUUUGGACUUCCACUCGGAGUUGUACCAAUCUUGGCACUAGGCUAAUGGUUUUAUCAUCGACCUUGAGGAGAGACACAAAUUAGGUGUCUACAGAAGCCCCACUUUGAUUGAGUGUUCGGUGAGGAAAGCGCAAGUCAAAGUAUUCAAACUGGGAUGGAGAACGGUCAAGAUGUUAUGAAAUCGAGACCAUUCUUAGUACGUCGGUACCUUCAUAAAACAAGCGUUAGAAAAAGGUCGAGUCUACCUCCGGCCUGGCUUGACGACUCAAUCUUUGUGUGGUAUGAACUGAAGGAAAUAAUGCCCUUGGUCCAAGUAUGCAUUCAAUGUUAAGUCUAAUAAAUGCGGUUCAGUAUUAAUUAAACAAGUUAAUAAAUUCAGUGAGAUCAAGUGAGCUGAAUGCCUAGCUAGAGGCCGCUUCAGUUCAAGUGGAAUUAAUAAUAUUAGUCCACAACUUACUCUUGACUGAACCCGUAGGAUCACACAAAUAGUACGUGAACGGAUCAAGUAUUUAAGUGAAUAUAUUAUUCAUUAAAUACUCCAUUUAUCAACAUUCGGAAACAACAGAUCUCGGUUCCAGUAGGAGCUGAAAUCGUCAAAAAGAAAAAUAUAGAAUGCUCCGGAAAUGAUGAUAUUGCCGGAAACAGAAAUAUGGAUCAUGACGGAAAUAUAAACAUUAUCCAAGUCGUAGAUGUUGCCGGAAACGGAAACAUGGUUUGUAUCGGAAAAUAUUAUCGGAAAUAGAAAUGUUGCCGGAAUCGGAAAUAUUGCCGGAAACAGAAACAUUGCCGGAAUCGGAAAUAUUAACGGAAACGUAAAUAUUUGUUCGAAUCGGAAAUGAAUUUCGGAAUCGGAAAACGAAUCGGAAGCGCGACGUGCAAACGCUCGACAAACGAGCUUGCGAGACGCAAGGCCCAGCGCCAAGAAACCCCGCGCGGAGUAGCAAGGCAUGGGCCGAGCAAAGGCAGCAGUGCCCAAUGAGUGGGCCGCGUGCUGCUUGCUGCUACGCCCAGCGCGCAUGGGCCGAGCAAGGCAGCAACGCCCAUUCGUGGGCUGCGGGCUGCGUGCUACACGACCAAGCAACGUGGGCUCAAGGCCACAUGUGCAAAGCCUUGGCCGGCUAGGUUGCUUGCGAGUCAAGUAAUCGUGUUUUCCUAAUUUUACUAAAAUUAGAUGUUUUAGGUAAUCUGAAAUACUUAAUAUUUGAUUAUCCCUAGAAUUCUAAUGUUAUUAAUUAAUUAUAAUCCUAAUGGAUUUAGUUAAUCGAUUCCUAGUAGGAUUCAAACUCUUCUAUUUCCACCCUAUAAAUAUGUGGUUCAUGAUUACAAUUUAUAAUGCAAUUCAAUAUACUAUUCUAACACAUUAGAUUCAAGAGAGAAUUUAAUACUUUCUUAUCACUAUUGUGAGUUUCCCGAGUGCACAUAAAACCUUAGAGAAUAUUCUAGUUGGUUGAAUCUAAGGAGGAUUCGAACGUGCUGUGGACUAUCUACGGAGGGGCGACAUUUGGAGUCCUAUACUUGUUCUUGUUCGGUUCGUAAGCAGCUAGGGAAGGCACGCAUCACAUUGUAUGUAUACUAAAUUGUGCUGGUUGACUAUGUGGCAAUUAAUUUGGAUUCCUGGUUUAUGGUUUUUCGCAUGAAUUAUAUUGUUUAUAUUAUUCAUAACCCUAUAUGAACAUCCUCUGAAAAUUUUGAAUUUUGAAUAUGUCGUUUGAGUUUUACCCGACUUGAUCCACCGGCGAGUGGAUUUUAGAAUUUCCACUGGGGAAAGAUUUGAACACAUGUCGCGACGCUUCGACUUUCUCAGAGCGUGAGUCCGUUGGGAGUGUUUUGCUUAAUCUUGUAUAUUUUUCGGGGUUUGGACGCUUGAGAUAUUUAUCCGUUGUUGUAGCCGAAACAAAUAUAUACCCGUCCCUACCGGAAAGAACUUUGAUUUGCUGUUUGAUGCUUGGAACAGAAAACCGUAGCAACAAAACACGUACGUUUAAUACAGGGAGGUGCGCAGAGAUUUGCGCAUGCGCCAACCUUGGGCCCAGCGCCUGGAACCAGGCAAACUCCUGGCGCAGGCUUGGAGUUAUAAAUACCCCCGUGAGCUCGGCUGCAUUUGCUCAUUCUUGCUCAUUUUUUUCUCAAAAUUUUUCUCUUAUUCUUUCUCUUGCUCGUUACAAGGUUGCUCUUUGCCCCUCUUACUUCAAUCCAUGUAAGUAUUUCAAGUUUUUCUUAUGAAAAUACUUAGGUGCAUGUGUAGGAUGUUUUCUUGUAUUUUGAAUUGCUUUUGUGUGUAUGUGGCCUAGAAUUGUUGCUCCUUGGGUAUAUAUGAUGAAGGGAUCUUGAUUUUGUAUGUGGAAUUGAAAAGUGUUGAAUUUUUUUACCACUUUUGGGGGAGGUCACCGAUACCUAAGGGAUAGAUAUAUUAGAAAGGGUUGAUGGUAUUAUGUAUUUCCAAAUGCUGGAAUGUUGAUAGUAGUAGGUGCUAGCUUCUUGUGCUUUGUAUUGGAAAUUGUUUGGUAGCCAUCUUGAACAUGAACUGUUGGAAUUUGGAACUUGGAACUUUGUACCUUGUAUUUGAAUUUUGUAUUGGGAAUUUGUAGAUGCCUUGCCUGACAUGGCCUUUAAAGGGGGUAACAAUUUUUUAUGCGUGGCUCUCCGUAUUUGUUUUGAGCAUAGAUCUUGAGGAGUCUUGUAAGGAGAUGGUAGGCUUGGCUAGCCUAGGCUUGAUGUAGACUUGAAAUAACUGCUUAGGCACGAAUAGCCUAGGCGUUGGUGUAGACUUUGAAUAUUUGUAUGAGGAUCCUUGGCUGUAAUUGUAAUGCCACUAGGGAUGUUAAGUUUUGAAAAUCGAACAAACUAGUAUAAGAUAGCCCCCAGGAUUGAAUGUUGACUUUUUAUUUGAAUAUUUUAGUAAGCCUAUUCUCCGUACCCGAUGAAAAAUUAUCGAGAGCUCGCUUAGUCGGGCUGCCGCGGAGGAUGCCUCUGGCAUGGAGGUAAGGGAGCUAGAGGACGUUGAGGUCGGGGGUUUGGUCCCGCAUGAGAGGACCAUUUUUUACUACAGUGGCUGGAGUCCGAAGGAUUUAGUCUUCAACCGGACAUCAUCUGUCCCAUCGGCCGGCUAUGGGCGUGGUAUGCUCAUUGUAUUUUGCUUCGGUUGAAUUCUGUUUGGAUUAUGCUCAUUUGUAUUGACUUAUUGUUAUUGUAGACCGAGCCCGUGGGUAUCCAAGUAUUCUGGUAUCAGAGAGAGCUUGAGAGAUCUUUCAGGUAUAUCCAGGAUCAUGAGGAUACGAGAGUUUUUUUGGGAACGAUCAGGCUUUGCCCCGUUCUGGGAGGCGGUCCAAGGCUUCGAGGGUGUCGCCGGGACACAUGUCCUUUUAGAGUGGUGGGGGGACACCACUAACUCGGUCCACAUGCGUUGGGGAGAGAUUACGAUCACCCCUUUGGACUUUGUUAUGAUUACGUGACUCCAUUUUUCUGAGAGGGAGGUUGCAUUUAACCAAGACUUGAAGUGGGGGCAGUCCGGGUGUCAGAGAUUUGUUGGGGCUUGUUGUGAGGAGAUUGGAGCGUGAGGGUAACUCGUGUCCCUUGAUGCAUAUUUUGGCUAGUAUUGAGUUGCCUGGUGCAACAACGAAGCAUAGGGUUCACAUCUUAUUGCUAGUGCCCGUUUGCCGGAUGUUCAUUCCGGGUAGGAACAGUCGCGUACUGAUACGCUAUUUGGGAUCCUCUGAGGAACAAACUUUUGCAUAAGAUGAAGAACGCUUCGAGGACUGCCUUUUAAGACCCGGCUGCCAUGGCUGCUAUGUGGAGAGUGUUGGAGGUAUUUACGACUCCUUUUGUAUUUUGCAUGUGUAUGUUUGACUGAUUCCUCACUUGUUUGCAGAUUUGGGCGUAUGAGCAUUUUCUUGGCAUGGUGCCUGCUCGCCCUCAUGGUGCGGCUUACCAGUUUGCAGCUUCUUGGCGGGGAGCAGAGCGUACCCGUGAUACUAUGCAGGUAUUCCGCAAGGCUUUGCGGACCACACCUAUUGAUGAGGUGAUAUUCCGCCGCUUUGAUGGGGUGCCCAAGCCUGAGUCGGCAGUUCGUGCCCACUUUUUGACUAGGAGGAGGGUACUGAUUCCAGGGCUCAACUACCCUAUAUGGUAUAUGGGUGAGCGAGUUUCCAUCCAGCAUAGCUCUACAUCCUAGCUGGUUCCUUUCGAUCCUCCAGAGUCCAUGAUGCUGAGUGUUCCGGCUGCGAAUCGGUUCUAUGUGACAGUUUUGGAUCAAGGCGAUGCUGAUUCGCUGUGUCUUCCCUGGGAGGGUUUUGUAGAUAAGGGGACUAGCUACCAGGCCUUCCUAGAUAGGCUUGCUCCAGCCGUCUGGUUCGAGCGACCGUUGAGGAGGCGUACCCCGAUGAUAUCCCCUAUGCUGACAGGGUUCUCCGUUAUGCGGAUGAUGAUGGGAAACAGCCUUCUCGCGGAAAGGUACACCGUUGGAUGGUGGUGAUUGACUCUCUGAAGAGGCAUUGCGUGAAGCUGACCAAGAAGCUUGCUGGCCGUGGUCGCACAGUGAUUUUCCUAUUUCCGUGUUAUUGUAUCUUGAAUUUUGUAUGUUGGAAAUCGGAUGCUUGAAUUUUGAAUUUUGUAUAGGAGCGCAGGGAGGCUCGUAGAGAGACCCAGGGUGCCGAUGAGCACGCGGAGCAGACUGAGUUGAACUUGGAUCUUGGCCUUAAUAUUGCUACAAUGGGAGACUCUCGGAGGCACUCGGAUGUUGGUGGCCUGAGAGAUGUGGCUUCCUCCUAUGAUCAGGCUGGCAGGUAUUCAUUCUCGUAUGGGGAGACUGGUGGUCAGGCACUUUAUGUGACUCCUCCCGAGGGUUGCUAUGGGGUGGGCAACUCUAAGCCAUGGGGACCCGACUAUGGUAUGUCAUCUUGGGUUCAGUUCCAGGAAAUGGAGCGGGUGCGUCUUUUAAGGAGAUGGAGAGGCGGCGCAGGUUCGAUGUGGCUUAGCAGGCCUACCAGUUCUAUUCCCGUUAGCAGGGACCUCUGUAGUUUCCUCUUGACUUUCUCGGCCAGGGAUCUAGUACUCUUCGUAUUUCAGAGCAGGAGCCAGCUAUCCCGGAGACAAAGCUUGAUCGGGAUGUGGAGCGGUACAUGAGCCGGAACAGAGGCAAGGCACCUGCUGAGACUCUGGUACUAACUGAUGAUGAUUCAGACUGAUCCUACAUGGUAGCGAGAUCUAGAUUUGCCGGUGUAACACUCUAAUAAUUCCUUGCCUUUAUAAAAUUAUUUUCCAACUUAAAAUAAAGGAAUUACUAAAGUAUUACAGCCACCGUGAUAACGGUUAAGACUAGUACCAGAAUUACGCAGCGGAAAUAACUAACAUUCAAAACCUUAAAUAGUAGUUAAUGGCCUCCAUACAAAUUGGAACCAUAACGACCCAAAACCAAAUCCGUUAAAAAUCCAUUAACUAACAGUUUAAGUAGUUUAAGUAGUCUAGACUAAUAGAAUAACAGAGUUUAAACAAUGAAGGAGAAAACAACGCUCAACCAAAAUCCCCAUGCUAGAUAACUUUUCUGGCAAGUUAUAUCUACAAACCUGUUAUUUGAAAUCUACUCCCAACAGCACAAGUGCAAUGGUGGAUCAUCAUAGGGUCAUUAAGGCGAAGGCCAUGACCAAAGAGACAUGAAGCACGAAGUCAACGAAAGCUGAGUACGAACAAGUUAGAAUGAAAUCCUAGUACUAACAUGCUUCACUCGAAUAAUAAAUAAUCCACAUGAAAAAGCCAUAUAAUAAACAAUUAAUCAUGAAGACAAGACUCGACUCUUGACACGACUCUUGACUCCUUGAUUAAUUUAGAAUAAGCUUCAAACGGGCCUAAAAGAAAUAUCCAUUAAAGGAAGGGUGUUGGGAGGCCACCAAACACCAAAAUAUAAAAAUAAACCACUUGUCGGACUAUACCGACGGAAUUCCAGCGCAUAAAAAGAAAUGAAACAACGUCUUGUAUCAUUAGUAGGAGUACAAGUUUUCCGGAAAGACUCCCCCCAUUGUUCAUACUCAAGGUAUAUACAUUCCAAGAGUUUUAAAGCUUGUUCGGGUUGCAUUUAACGUUUAUUAAAAUUUUAUUGACAAGGUCAACUCGAGACACAACAAAAGCAUUUAAUAAACGAACAACCAAACAACACUUCUUUUAGAUUCAUUAGGACUUAUGAUCAAACAAUCACGACUCAAGUGAAGUUACUACCAAUGUUCAUUCUCAAUAUACCAUUGAGAUUCCACAACAUGCAUGUUAACAUGUGGUUGUGCACUAGGCACGAAUAAAUCCUAAUUCAAUUCACAUAGACCUCCCAAUCAUACCCUACAAACAGGGUAGAAUAAAUAGUGCAACAAGGUACGAACAACUUGGCUCAAUAUAUGCUAGACAUUACGUACGAUAACAUAACAAUAUUCCCUUGCAUGUGAAACAACCAUACAUGCAUAAAAACUUGAACAAAAUGCUUGACAUUAAAUUCAACGAUUCUAAGUAAUCACAACAUGUUUGUUCACAUAGAAUUCAUAAAUUAAAUAAUAAUCCAAAACAUGUUCGUUCACAAUAUCAAACAUGAAUCCAUAAUAAUCCAAGUCACAUGAAUCACAAUAAUAAAGUAUCAUAUGUAUCCUCAUGGAAACGGUGGCCACCUUAGACAUGUACGUAAGUACCUCGAAUAUCUAAGUACGGGGGCCACUUUGUGAUCAAGGCUCUAGAUUAGAAAUCACCUCCUAUAAUUAAAAUAAAGAAAUUCAAUUACUAUUCAUGUUCAUUAAAUUUCCAGCAACUUUAUUAACUUUUAAACCACUUGAAUUAAUUAGAAAUCAAUCGUUUGUUACUAAAAUAAUAGUCCCAAUUGA